CUUGCCACAGCUCCCACAUCACCAGGCAAACCAGAUCAUUUUGCCAAGAGGGGAAAAUCUUCUGUCAUCAGGGCUAGCCUGGAGUCCACAAAAGGUUUCAUGGAAGCACCACAUACGUGCCAUGCUCUUUCAAAUGAACACAGGCACAAACUGGUGGCCAGCAGGGUGAGGGAGGUGAUCCUACCAUUCUACUGUGCUGUGAGACCUCACCUGCAGUACUGUGUCCAGAUGUGGAGUCCUCAGUACAGGAGAGAUGUGGACCUGUUGGAGAGCGUCCAGAGGAGGGGCACAAAAAUGAUCCCAGGGGUGGAAAACCUCCCCUGCAAGGACAGGCUGGGAAAGCUGGGGCUGCGCAGCCUGGAGAAGAGAAGGCUGUAAGGUGACCUGACAGCGGCCUUUCAGUACCUACAGGGGAGCUACAGAAAGGACAGAUUCUUUAGCAGUUUUUGAUAAUAGAACAAGGGGAAACGGCUUAAAGCUCAAAGAGGGCAGAUUUAGGUUAGAUAUAAGGAAAAAGUAUUUUACAGUGAGAGUGGUGAGGCACUGGAACAGGUUGCCCAGAGUUAUGACUGAUGCCCCAUCCCUGGAGACUUUGAAGGCAAGGUUGACAACCUGAUCUAAUUGUGGUGUCCCUGUUCAUUGUAGGGGAGCUGAACUAGAUGGCCUUCAGAUGUCCCUUCCAACUCUAAGGAUUCUAUGAUUCUAUGAACUGGGUUUAGAAUUCUACAUUAACCUGAUGUUAACAAGAGAUAAGAAAAUACACUAAGUAGCCUCCAAAGUUGGUAAGAAAAAAUGCAGUAUGCAUAAUUAGUAAUUUACUAACUUGAGUAGAUGCACCUAAAUACCACAAAUGGAAUUAUCAACUGAAAUACAUUUAUUACAGUAUUGCAUUAUUUUCUACCAGUGUUUUCUUCCAAACUAUUUGGGACUUUGUGCAGAACUUUGGGUCACUUUAGUAUUUCCUGGUCUUCUGGAUUUUUAACAUAUACAGCCACAGCACAACCUGCUAUGACUGCUCAGUGACUGCUCAAAAUCAAGAGUUGUGUAUUUGUUUCAGAAACAUCUUUCCUGACACUGAUUUCUUUAUGGAAGGCAUCGGUCGGGAAUCAUAAAACAGGUUGGAAUAUUACUGAAAGCAUUCUUGUUUAAAAAAAGUCAUGUCAGCAAUGUGCCACAGUUCUAAUUACUGCAGAGAAAUUAGCAAAUAAUUAUAUGCAAAUAAAUGAAGCUAAUCAAAGCUAUUAGCACAUUCUGCUAGUCAAUCAUUUAAAUUACUUUAGGCUAUGGUACAGCAUUGGUAUGGAAGAAUCAGCUUAAAAGGAAAAAAAUACACAACCACUUUAUUAUGUGAGAGCCCAGCAUUUGUAUAAACAUUUCAAAUGUGGUAUUGAAACAGCUAAUCCAUUCAGCAUUAAAUUGGAUAGGCUCUGGUCACCCAUGUUACCUAUAUUAUGAGAGUGCUUCGGUAUGGAAUGAGUGCUGACAGUCCCAUACAUGCUGUUUUUCAAGCUCUUGUAGAAUUGUGCCCAUUCAGUUAAGAAAAAUUUCUAUGCUGGAUUUUUGCUUCAGGCAGCAUUUGUUACUGCUGCUGUCUGUUUUGAACAUUGCUGCCCAAACAUUUCUAGCACUGCAGAGAGCAAGACUUGGAGAAACAAGUCUUUGACAAAACAUUCUGCUUCUGAGCUGCACUUUUUCUGCCCCGUGAACAUCUGUCCAAAUUUUUCCCAUUUCUAAACACCAGCGGGAGAGAGGAGAGGUUUGUUCUUGUUGGGUGGGGACUUCCAUUUUCUCAGCAUGGUUGCCAAGCAUUCUCCUUCCUCUGGUCCCACUCCAGCUGCCCUGAUGACAGGGAGGGCACUGACCACUGUGUGGCUCAGGGCUGGGGCCGGGACGCACAGCCAGAAUGGACUGCUUUGCAGUGCGAGCCCCUCAAGAGGCAAAGGAAAGAGAAGGAGAGGAAAAGAAUGCCAAGAAGGCUGAAGCUCAUUGAUGGUGGAGGAAAGGAUAUUGGCUCAAAUAGAUUGGGGCUGAGGCCAGAGGGAAAACAGAGGCGGAGGAAGGAAGGAUGUGACUCAUGGCGAGGGAGGGGCAGCAGGAGGGCAGCUGGAGGCAGGAGGUGGGUGAUGAGGACACAACCUGCUGAUGGAUGGGCCCCAGGGGUAGCAGCAUAGGCAGAAGCUGGGCUGGACAGGGUUCAGGGAGUGGUGGGACUGGGGCCAGCUUCAGGAAGCUGAACUAUCUGCAUCUUUCCAGUUUGCUAUUGGAGUCUUGCCCCAGGGAUGCUGGACUGUAAUACAUGGCUGUGACCUGGUGUGGUGUCAGUUCUGCCAACACUCACUACAAAUACUUCCUUAUUUGCUGUCCAGAACUUCAUUCUCUCUGUUCUAGGUUCUUGUGACUGUAGUUAAAGCGAAUGACUGCAAAAAUCAAGAGCAUGUACUUAGAGAGACAACAAAACGUUAGACUUGAAGGGUUUUUCAUGACUGCAUUACCCAUACACACACAUAAUCAGCUAUUAUUUUAAUAUUUCCUCUUUUGUUGUGCUAAUACUAGGAAAUUCCCUUAUUAAUACUUACAAUAUGUGAAGACUAGAAAUUUUCCUCUCUGCUCUGUGUUGGUAAGACUUCACCUGGAGUACUGCAUCCAGAUGUGCAGUCCACAGUACAAGAGAGACACAGACCUGUUGGAGCACAUCCAGAGGAUGGCCACAACAGUGAUCCUGGAGAUGGAACACCUCUCCUAUGAGGACAGACCGAGAGAGCUGGGGCUGUUCAGCCUGGAGAGGAGAAAGUUUCCCCUCUCUUUGUGGAUAUUUGAGAGUGGCCUUUCAAUAUCUAAAGGGGAUCUGUAAGAAAGAAGGGGACAGACUCUUUAGCAGGGUCUGCUGUGACAGAACAAAGGGAAAUGGUUUCAAACUAGAAGAGGGGAGGUUUCGAUUGGAUAUAAGGAAAAAGUUUUCUUAUAACAAGAGUGGCGAGGCAGUGGCAAAAGUUGCCUGGAGAGGUGAUGGAUGCUCUGUCUCUGGAGACAUUCAAGGUCAGGCUGGAUGGGGCUCUGAGCACCUGAUCUAGCUGUAAGUGUCCCUGUUCAUUGCAGGGGACUUGGACUAGAUGGUCUUUAAGGGUCCCUUCCAGCUCAAAUGACUUUACAAUUCUAGGAAAUUAAACACUUUGAAGGAGUGUUCCUAGAUACAGGCACUCAGAGUUCUUCUCUCAACCCAUCUUUAGGCACAUCUAGGGGGUUAGCACAGUCUGGGCUUGGUCCCACCAGACAGAUUAGAUGAGGUGACAUUUUGUCCAAGGGUCAGAUGUGGGGCAUUUCAUGGAAACUGCCCUGUGUCCAGGAACCACAUAGGGCACAUCUGAGUUCAGACAAGCUUUUACAUCUUACUGCAGUCAGCUUGCCAUUUCCCUUUCCUCAUGUUUAGUGGGGAUUUUACUAUUGUGGUUUAACUGUAAUGUAUAUUAAGUUUUAGAAGCAAAGCAAUUCCAUGGGUUGAUUUGACUCAGAUUUCUGUCUAAAGUCAUUGUAAAUAUUGUAAAUAAUUGUGAUGUUCACUUUUAUCUUUGUAGGUUGGGUUGUCCUACCCAUGACUAGAGUCUCAGGAGAGACAUUAUUACUCUCUACAACUUCCUGAAGGGAGGUUGUGAUGGGGUGAGGGUCAGCCUCUUCUCCCAGGUUACAGCAAUAAGUCAAGACAGAAUGGCCUUACAUUGUGCCAGGGGAGGUUCAGGUUGGAUAUUAUGAAAAUUUUCUUCUCAGGAGUGGUGAUGCAUUGGCACAGGCUGCCCAGGGAGGUGGUGAAGUCACUUCCUGGAGGUGUUCAAGGAAUGUGUAGAUGUAGCACUGAGGGACAUGGUUAGUGGCCAUGGUGGGGAUGGGUUGAUGGUUGGACUAGAUGAUCUCAGUGGUCUUUUCCAAACUAAAUGAUUUGAUGAUUCUAUUACUUAGGUCCACACUCCAAAGUUUCUUUUCCAUUUGUUAGUAGGAGCUCUGAAUUCCUGCUUUCAGGCCUCUCGUCACGAGCUCCGUGCUCAAUGAAGCAGCUCCUCCAAGUUUUCAGUGGUCACAACUUCAGGUAUUGAAACAACAAAUGUUGAAUAUUGCUUCUCUGAAUGCAAACAGUCCUCACCUGGGAAAAAAGAAAGACUCCAUUUUACUGUUUACAGAUUAUAAAUGAUAGAGGAGUCACCAUUUUCACAUUCUGCAGAAUCCCCUUGUAUACAUAUCAGAGUGUUUCUAAUAUUGCAGAUAAGGGAUCCCAG
ensembl:lncRNA